rnacentral:sRNA from 1 species
UAUUCUGCCCUACAGGGAAGGAUGAGAAGCUUCGACUAAGGUUCGACUCGAGCGAAGCGAGAGAACGUUGCCGCAGGCAAUGGCCCGAAGGGCGAGGCGCUUUAGCGCCGAGUAAUCCUUCCCCCCCACCA